CUUAUUCAUUCACAAAAAUGUAUUGAAGAUCUAUUAAGAGCCAGUGAUUUGCUACGUCUUGGAUUCAAUAAUUAGCAAACUCAGAAAGGAAGGUUUUUUUUUUUAAACAUUGAGAGUUUGUGGUGGGUGGAGAAGGGACAGAUAUUAAAUGAACAAAGAAAAUUGUGAUAAACUCCUUAAGAAAAGAGGUAGCAAUUGAACAUCGAGGAAAAUGACUAUAAAAUUAUAAAUCUGUUGCAUUCUGCAAAGGAGAGCCAGGUAGUGGAUUAACUAAGGGGCCAGGCAAUGCUUUCUUAUAAGAAGCCACUUUGAAGCUGAUGCUCCAAGGGACUCCAUAAGUGACUCCAUAAGAGGUAGGGGUGGGUGCUGAAGAGGUGAAGAGAAGCUUGGCACACAAAAGCAAGGUUAAUGUAAACAAGUGAAAGUUGGGUUUUUACACUAGAUACAGAUUUUGGGUUUUAGUUUAAGAGUAAUGAGAAACUACUAAUUAGCAUUCAGUAGGCAAUGCUGUGUAAAAAAUGUGGGAAAAAUAAUCUCAGCGGUUCCAAGUAACAAAUGCUUAUUUCUCACUCAUGUUACAUUUUGUUGUUGUACUAGAGAUUGAACUCAGGCUUUACACAUGCUAGGUAAGUACUCUGCUGUGCAGCUAUAUUUUUAGCACUCUAAUUUUUAAAAAAAAUUUGAGACAAUGUCUCACUGCAUUGCCCAGGCUGGCCUCAGACUUGUGAUCUUCCUGGCUCAGCCUCUCUAGGAGCUGGGUUACAGGCGUGUGCCAGCACCCAAGCUUAUAGAACGUUUGACUCAGGUCAGCUAUGGCUUUGCUCUGUGGAUCUUACUCAUUGUGAUCCAAGAUUGAAGAAGCAGCUUAAAUCUGGGCAUUCCUUUCUUAUGGUAGAGGCCAAAGAGCCAUGGCCAAGACCUGGGUUACUCCACAGGUGUGUGCCAUCUUUGAUCACAUGCCACUGGCCAAAGCAAGUUGCUGGCCUGAAUCUCAAUGUGGUGGGAGGUUAGAGCUGGGCAGUGGGAGGGGGAUUAGGUCCCCUUCCUCUGGGCCUUGAAAAGUUUUAAGUGUGUAUGGUGCUGGUAGUAACAUGGUAAGAUCUGUUUCGAAAAGUGUAACGUUGGGUUGAAGCUGGCUUAGUAAGUAGUGAAAUAGUAUCUCACUACUUAUGGUUACUACUAAUGGUCACCUGGAUUGAAGAGGUGGGGGGAUAGGUGGAGAAAGAAGAUCUGAGAAGUUUUUCAAAGGCAAAAUAAAUAACAGUAUGGGUUUGGUUUGAGUGUGUUCAGGUUGAGAUACUUGAGAGCCAUUUAUGAGGUUAUAACACAUCAAGUAUAGUUGGGCACGUUACUAUACUAUUUGUAAGAAAAUAAAUUUCCAAUUUCCUUUGGAAUAUGACUUAAAAUUACCCUGAGAGUAACUUUCCUAGUAGAAAUAGCCUUUGUGUUUUCAUCUUACUCUUAAAGUACUUAGAUAUUAAAAGAAAAUGUUCACCGGUUACAACUUUUUCUAUUUUUGCCUCUGGUUAUUCACAGAAGGUGAAGUACUCUUUAUAUUUUUCCUUUAUUGCUACAAGUGUUCUUGCUUCAACACACACUGGAGAAUAUGCCUUUUUUUCCUGAGUGACGUACUGGGUGGGAGCCAAGGGAAUCGGGGUAUAAAGAUGGCACCUCCUCCCAGCCUGUGUGUCUGUAGCCCUCCCAGACCUUGGGUCCCCGUGAAUAGCCCAGGCAUUUUGCUUUCUAUUAGAAAAUUGGCAAAUAUUGUCAGGGACAGGGAGCAACAGAAACUGAGAAGGAUUCUGGAUCACUGAGAGGGAUUUUCUCCCCUUUAGAAUCAGUCAACCUUCUCUGAAUGUUGCUUCAUUUUCUGUUUAUUAGUCAAGUUAAAGAACAUCCAGUAUUUAGAAUAUGAACCAGGAUGGAUCUGAGCUCCUUUUCUUUUUCUGCAUAUUCCUAGAGCAAAUAUGGUCUCAGAAAACACCAUGUGACUUACAACAUCUCUAGGUUUGGAAUCUUGAUACCAGCUCUGGGUCCCCAGAUGAUGCCCUUUAAGACCUGACAUUUUUAGAACAAGAGAGCAAAUCUUAUGGGAUAUCAGAUAUCUCUGCAAUUAUAAGUGAAGUUCGAAAAUGCUUGGGCAGAAUUUGUUAGUAAAAAUUGAGGUACUGUGUUUUUCCACCUUAUGCUAUCCAGUAAUAUUUCUGGUUCCUUCAUACUAUACUAUAUUCAAAACUGCCCCAUGAUCCAAAACAUAAACCCAACAAGUCACAGAUAGAACUGAGCAGGUAUGUAUCAGGUGUCAGCUCCAGGGGGGCUGAGUCCUCUUCUUCUUGCUGACUCUUAGAGUACCUGUCAGGACUGUACAAAGAAGACGUCCAGAUAAGACUCAUUGAAUGGAAUCAGGGCUGCUGCUUUGGUUUGGGGACAGAGAAUUUCCCUUCCCAGGGCAGCUUCAAGCUCCUGGCUAAUUUAGCUCAGCAGUAGGCAGUUUGGAUGGGCACUGAGGUCAUUUCACUUGAGCGGAGUCCUGGCUGGUGUCUACCCUGUGUAACCCUGAGCUAGUUAUAUAAUUUUAAAUCCUGUAGUGUGUGUAUAGAAAUUAACUGAUGUUGUGUGCAGAAAGCACAUAGUGGGCUGGGAAUGUACAAAGGCCCUGGUGUCAGUCUUCGAUACUGGAAAAAAAAGCUCACAGAUAACUAAAACUAGAGAUCAUAAACUAUGAUCAUAAUCAUAAACAAAAGCCAUAACGAAUUUUGUUCGUAAAACAGAUAAAUAUGAGAAAUAGUUCACUUGUGAAAUCAAUCCCUAGUUGUCUGAGGAUGUAGUUUUUGUUUGUUAUCUGGCCAGGAAGCUUUACCAGUGUAAAAAUAUCUGGCAACUGUGUCUUCAUUCUGUCUAGAGCCUCGUGGUUCAAUCAGACCUCUCUGGCAAAGAGCCUGGGCAUCUCCAGUGCUUGCUGCAUACGUUUGUGAUGGGAUGAGCUGGCACAUCAGGGUUUUAACUUUGUUAACCCAGCAUGCAGAAGAGCUCUGGGAAGGGCGUGUCCCUUCAGGUCAUAAUAAAUAUAGUUAUUUCUUCCUAGUUUUGUUUUUAUCUCCUGCUUGGUUCAUCCCAAGUGUGUUCAUGAAGCGGACUGGAUGCUCUUCCAAACAAGGAGCAAUUUCUGCAUGUCGCUGUGCAAAAGAGGCCCAGGGGGCGCCCAGGACGGAGGAGAGCAAGGACCGUGGGAUGGAAGCCAGAAGAUGGGCGUCUGUAGGAGGGAAGUGGCCAGAGUCCUAUUCAGCCACAAAAGGGGUGCUAUUCUGACACCAACUGCAACAGGGCCGCACCUGGAGGACAGCUUGGGAAGCGAAGACCUCCAACAGGAAAGGCACACACUGUGUGAGAGAGGAGGUGGAGCUCCAGGACUGAUGACCUGAGGUGCAGGCCUGGUUCUCAAACAGCUUGCGGUGUCACCUGGUUAGAAACUCAGAUCCUCGGCUGCGUCCCAGAUCUCCUGAAUCAGAGACCUGGUCACGGGGCACAGCCAUGGGUGAGUAUGAUGCUGUGAAAGAUGGACGAUCAUGGAGCACCUGGAGUCCUCUAGGAAGCCCAAAUGACAAGACCACAGAUGUGUGGACCCCAGUCUUAGUCUGGGAAGGGCACAGGUGGUUCUGCUGUGCGGUCCUUUGCAGUGUCAGAACCAGUAGGGUAGAGGAAGACCAGGAGGACAGGAGCUUAGGUCCGUCUUGUCUCGUUCUCAGACCUCUGCUCGGAACCUCUGCCUGGCUACGUCAGUAGGUCACUGCCUUGGUGGAGAAGAGAAGGAGGAAGACAUAAAUCUGACUCUCUAGACUGCAGAAAGGGCCAGUGCUUCCUCAUGGGUCUGUCAUCCAACCCAGGUUGGCUCCAGAAUUCUCCUGUCACUCAGUGUGGUCUCAUGACUUAAGGCCACCCAUCUUCUGGGCCACCCAUUUUCCUCUUAAGAGAGAGCCCCAGGGAAACAGCGCACACCAACUGUACACUGUCUGGUCUUCCUCUAAACCUAUCUGUGUCUGGGAGUGGUGCUUGAACUCUUUAAUUGCUGGGUUGGUGCUGAGCCCAUCGGAGCGGGGCAGAAGAACGGGUCUUGAUGGGGUGACUGAGGGCAUAGAGGCCACUCUGCUGGUAGAGGAGAGGUCGCCUUCCCUCACUGGGCUGGACACCCAACCCAAGCAACCAGACUUCUCAGAGAACCCACCUAAGUCCCCUUAAGUCCCCUAAGUCUCGAGGCUGCACUUCCCACUCUGUCAGGUUCCCCAGCCACCAGGACUCUGGCUCGGUUGUCAUCUCACCCGUCAGCUUGCCCAUUCCUCUCACCUCCUGCCUCCAGCUCUCUUUCGCUUUGUGGUUAUUUGUGGAUGUGAGGCCUGAAAGACGUUCUCAAGAGACAAAUGAGGAAACGGUGACCCCAGAAGGAGCAAUACUUAAGGCUGGGUAGGUCCCAGGAGGGUGAAGGUUGGAUUUCCCUGAAGUCAAGGCUCCUGGAACCAGACUGGGCCUCUAACCUUCUGUUUCCUUGAUUGGAUCUGAAUUUUCUGGAAACUGUAAUGUUGAUUGAUUCUGUGUCUCUCCAACUUCUGAUGCCUGGAGGCGAUUUACCCACAUGUGCCUUUUCAUUCUUGAAGGUGCCUCUUCAACGCUUCCUUCCCAGUUAGGAGGGAGCAUCGUUUCCCUCUGGAGCCUUCGUAGUCGGCAAACUGUUACUAGAGAGAACCAUUAAUGAUAAUGGCAACAAUACUAGUUUAUUCAUUGUUUGUUCAGUCAUUUAUAAUUCAACAAAUGUUUAUUGUAGGUCUGCUGUAUGUCAGACACCCAGUCCAAUGAAUUCGCGGGAAAUUAAAGUGUGAUUUACAGCACUGUCUGAUAAUAGGUUGUUAUAAAGUCAUUAAGAAAAGCUCCCAAUCCAGGAAUGGAGACACUGGGACUGUGCUGGAAGGCACGGUGGGGAGUUUUCAGGUGACACAGAGGGAGGGGACUGUAAGAUCAGGAUAGAGGGUGUGAGGUACGAUAUGGGGAGGACCUCAUAGUCCAGGAUCAUUGCAGCAGAAAGUCAGUGAGCAGGAGGCUGGUAGAGGGCAUCAUUCUUCCAUAAUGAACUUUACUCUGAGUGCAUAGGAGCCAUCCGAAGAGUUAGAAGAGGGAGCCAUACAAACAGGCUUUGCAAAGCAGAAUGAAGACUAGAAUUGAUCUGUGAGUACCCAUCAUCCAAUUUUGAUACUAAUUCACAGCCAACUUGAUUUCUUCUUUCACCCCUCCGUCCUUCACUUACAUUAUAGAUACUCCUUGAGGUAGAGUUUCAGUUGAUUGGCUUGGGGAUUCACUCCAGCGGAUGGCAGAGCACACUUCUAGGUGUUUUUGGAUGAGUCACAAAGACAUGGGCUUGGGGUCUAUUUCUGGUUUCCUGCUCCUGCUCUGGCACUGAUCCUCUGUGCUGCUUCCCACCCACCAUAUACUAAGUUGCUUUGCUGUACGCUGUCUUUCCACUAUGAUGAUCCUGCCUUGGAGCCAGCUGACUAUGCACUGAACUUGCUCCAAUCCAAUAGCUAAAUUAAACCUUUUUUCUUUUAAAUCAUGAGUGUUGGGUAUUGUGUUCAGCAGUGGGAAAGCUGACUAAUAAACUCCUUGAUUUAUGAUGGGAUUACUUAUUGAUGAGCUUAAAAUUAAAAAUAUCAUGAUUCAAAAAUGCAUUCAAUUCACCUAACUUAGCAAAUAUAAGUUGACUGAAACUGUCUUAAAUGUGCUCAGAAUACAUACAUUAUCUAUACUUGGGCAAAAUCCAACACAAAAUGCUAUUUUAUAAUAAAUUGCUGAGUAUCUCAUACUUUCUUACGAUACUGAAGAUGAAAAACAAUGAUUGUAUAGAUGUGCUGUUGCCCUGUUACAAAGUUGAACAACUGUAAACUUCACCAUCAUAAGUGGGCAUAUCUAUAUUGUGAAGCAAAUCUCUGAUAUUGUCUCUUCUGUAAACAUUUUAAUAUUUGUUUCUGAAGGAGAAGACCUUGGUAAGUAAAACAGAAGUGUAAUAUUGUAUUCAAAAAUUAACAAUUCCUAAACAAUAAACACUUACUGACUUAUUAAAUUUCCUCUUAUGUUUUUACAAUUUUUUUCACUUUGGUUGAGUCAGGAUCUGAUAAGUUCCACAUUGGCUGACAUAUUUCUUAAGUCAUUUUUCUUUUUGUUUUUAUUUCUCUUUAAUACAUUUUUAAAACAGUGUUUCUUUGCCCUAUAUUUCUCCUCAAUACAAUAGAUUUGAUGAUUGUAGCCAUGUGGUGUCACUUAGCAUGUUUCUCUGUUCCCUGUAAUUAAUGUAAACAACAGGGAGAAGGAUAUGUGGAUGAGAAUUAGGGUUUUUUUUUUUGAUACAUAAGCCUCAAAGGUAGUAUUUUGGUCACAGCAUUCUGGAAUCAGUGAUUGUUCUUUUCUUAGAUUGCUGCAAGUGCCUAAUGUAAGCAGAAUGACGUGUUCGAGUCUUUGUACAUUUUUUUUUUUCUUUACUUAGGGUGAUGUUUUAAAAGUUCAGUCAUGUUGCAGUAUGUAUUAGCACUUCAUACCUUUUUACAUCAGGAUAAUAUUUCGUUGUGUACACAUACCACAUUGUGUGUACCCAUUUAUCUGCUGAUAGACAUUUGGGUUGCUUCUACCAUUGGGCUACUGUGAAUCAUGCUACUGUGAAGACUGAUGUAUAAAAAUCUGUUUGAUUUUAUCAUGACUGAUCUUAGUUGAAUCUGGUUUGUUAGAUUGCUGUUUUAUAUUGACAGAUUUAAUUUAAAUCUGUUAUGACUGAUAGUAUCAAGUCUGACAGUAUGGGCAACUACACUGAAGAUGACAAGAUUCACUAGGAUACCCACUCUGGUUUGAUUAUUACCUGCUUUUGAAGUUUUACACUGUCUAUAAUGUUUUGUUUUUAUUAAUAUUGUUAUGUACUGCUAUGUUCAAUUAUACUAUGUCUGAUGAUAUAGACAAUUCUAUUGAAUUGUCUCUAUAACAAGAGACAACACAGUAACCAUUGAAGAUCACCUUGUACUGUGGUUUUAUAUAACUUUUUGUUUCAGGUUUUUCUAGGAAUUUGUUUUGUUUUGUCUUGCUUUGUUUUAUUUUUCCCUCUAACACAGAAAGGAAAGAUAUACAUGUAGAAACUCAUGAAUGCGUAGAACCUGUAAUUUAUGAGAAUGGAUCAUAUAACACAUGAUGAAAUGAACAACUACUUUGAAGAAAAAGAGACACUACUGUACCCAGUGCUGAUUCCUUGGCGUCAUGAUGUGAAAUCCAACAAUACUAUUAUUCUUUGUUCAGAGUCAUUUUAGCAUGUUUUGUUUUGUUUAAUUUCAAUGUAUGUGAAGCUAUGGACAGCUACUUUGAAGAGAAUGAGAGACAGCCAUUGUUGACUUCCUUAGUGUCUGGUCUUGAAGACCUAAAACACCUUCAUCAUCCUGUUCAGAUCAGUUCUAAACUAUGUUGUUUCUUGUGAAUUCUCUGUAUGUGAAGAUAUGGACAACUAUUUGGAAGAAAACAAGAGAUAAUAUGAUAGAUGAUGAAGAUCUCUGGUUGUCUUGCUUUGAAAUUUAUGUUUCUUACAUUGCUUUCUUAUGUUCUGUUUUGUUGUGUUUAAUUUUACCCU